AGCAGCCGCGGUAAUUCCAGCUCCAAUAGCGUAUAUUAAAGUUGUUGCAGUUAAAAAGCUCGUAGUUGAAUUUCGAGAUCAAAUUGUUGGUCGUGCCUCGGUACGUACUGGCAUUAUUGAUUUCUCCCUUCUGAAGAACCUCGAUGUCAUUAAUUUGGUGUCGUGGGGAAUCAGGACUGUUACUUUGAAAAAAUUAGAGUGUUUAAAGCAGGCUCACGCUUGAAUACAUUAGCAUGGAAUAAUGAAAUAGGACGUUUGAUUCUAUUUUGUUGGUUUCUAGGAUCGACGUAAUGAUUAAUAGGGAUAGUUGGGGGCUAUUAGUAUUCAAUUG
rnacentral:rRNA from 1 species